rnacentral:rRNA from 1 species
GACGAACGCUGGCGGCGUGCUUAACACAUGCAAGUCGAACGGAAAGGCCCUGCUUUUGUGGGGUACUCGAGUGGCGAACGGGUGAGUAACACGUGAGUAACCUGCCCUUGACUUUGGGAUAACUUCAGGAAACUGGGGCUAAUACCGGAUAGGAGCUCCUGCUGCAUGGUGGGGGUUGGAAAGUUUCGGCGGUUGGGUAUGGACUCGCGGCUUAUCAGCUUGUUGGUGGGGUAGUGGCUUACCAAGGCUUUGACGGGUAGCCGGCCUGAGAGGGUGGCCGGCCACAUUGGGACUGAGAUACGGCCCAGACUCCUACGGGAGGCAGCAGUGGGGAAUAUUGCACAAUGGGCGGAAGCCUGAUGCAGCAACGCCGCGUGCGGGAUGACGGCCUUCGGGUUGUAAACCGCUUUCGCCUGUGACGAAGCGUGAGUGACGGUAAUGGGUAAAGAAGCACCGGCUAACUACGUG